AACGUAGGAAGCGAGCGUUAUCCGGAUUUACUGGGCGUAAAGCGCGUGUAGGCGGUUGUGUAAGUUGGAUGUGAAAGCUCCUGGCUUAACUGGGAGAGGUCGUUCAAUACUGCAUGACUAGAGGAUGAGAGAGGGAAGUGGAAUUCCGGGUGUAGUGGUGAAAUGCGUAGAUAUCCGGAGGAACACCAGUGGCGAAAGCGGCUUCCUGGCUCAUAACUGACGCUCAGACGCGAAAGCUAGGGGAGCAAACGGG
rnacentral:rRNA from 1 species